rnacentral:rRNA from 1 species
UCCUUUAAGUUUCAGUCUUGCGACCGUACUCCCCAGGCGGCAGACUUAACGGCUUCCCUGCGGCACUGGGCUGGCGCAAAGCCAGCCCAUCACCGAGUCUGCAUCGUUUACAGCUGGGACUACCCGGGUAUCUAAUCCGGUUUGCUCCCCCAGCUUUCAUCCCUCACCGUCGAGCGCGUUCUGGCAAGCCGCCUUCGCCACUGGUGGUCUUCAAUGGAUCAGUGGAUUUUACCCCUACCCAUUGAGUACCGCUUGCCUCUCCCGCCUCCUAGCCCUGUAGUAUCCUCCGCGGCCCAUCUGUUGAGCAGGUGGAUUUAACGGAGGACUUGCAGAACCGGCUACGGAUGCUUUAGGCCCAAUAAUCGUCCCGACCACUCGGGGUGCUGGUAUUACCGCGGCGGCUGACACCAUACUUGCCCACCCCUUAUUCUGCAC